UGAUUUGCCAGCAAAAUAGCAGCAAUUGAUAAACUUGAGUACAUCAUUGACUGAAUGUAUCAAACAGAAUGCAUGUUGGCGAGUUAAUGCGAUUUUAAGCAUGGGCGUACGGGAAGGAAAAAAUUAGGGGGUUGGAAAGAAAUUUGCCCGACUUUUUCGGAUUAUGCACACGUUGUCAAAAAAAAUUUGGCGGAGAAACUAUCCAAAAUUGUUGUCGACGGGGGGGGGGGAAGAAGUGAUUACAAAAAAUUCCUAUUAGAUAGCAUAUUUCCCACAUAAUUGACAGAAUUUCCCACAAAAUUGACAGAAUUUGUC